rnacentral:rRNA from 1 species
CAGUCGCCGCGGUAAUACCAGCAGCCCAAGUGGUGGUCGCGAUUAUUGGGCCUAAAGCGCUCGUAGCCGGGCCGGUAAGUCCCUUGUGAAAUCGGACGGCCUAACCGUUCGGCGUGCAAGGGAUACUGUCGGUCUUGAGGCCGGGAGACGUCCGAGGUACUCCGGGGGUAGCGGUGAAAUGUUCUGAUCCUCGGGGGACCACCGGUGGCGAAGGCGUUCGACGAGAACGGGCCUGACGGUGAGGGGCGAAGGCUAGGGGAGCAAACGGGAUUAGAUACCCCAGUAGUCCCUGUCUCUUAUA